AGUGAACGCUGGCGGUAGGCCUAACACAUGCAAGUCGAACGGCAGCACAGUAAGAGCUUGCUCUUACGGGUGGCGAGUGGCGGACGGAUGAGGAAUACAUCGGAAUCUACUUUUUCGUGGGGGAUAACGUAGGGAAACUUACGCUCAUACCGCAUACGACCUACGGGUGAAAGCAGGGGAUCUUCGGACCUUGCGCGAUUGAAUGAGCCGAUGUCGGAUUAGCUAGUUGGCGGGGUAAAGGCCCACCAAGGCGACGAUCCGUAGCUGGUCUGAGAGGAUGAUCAGCCACACUGGAACUGAGACACGGUCCAGACUCCUACGGGAGGCAGCAGUGGGGAAUAUUGGACAAUGGGCGCAAGCCUGAUCCAGCCAUACCGCGUGGGUGAAGAAGGCCUUCGGGUUGUAAAGCCCUUUUGUUGGGAAAGAAAAGCAGCAGGUUAAUACCCCGCUGUUCUGACGGUACCCAAAGAAUAAGCACCGGCUAACUUCGUG
rnacentral:rRNA from 1 species